rnacentral:rRNA from 1 species
CCUACGGGUGGCAGCAGUGAGGAAUAUUGGUCAAUGGGCGCGAGCCUGAACCAGCCAAGUAGCGUGAAUGAUGACUGCCCUACGGGUUGUAAACUUCUUUUAUAAAGGAAUAAAGUGAGGCGCGUGUGCCUUUUUGUAUGUACUUUAUGCGUAAGGAUCGGCUAACUCCGUGCCAGCAGCCUCGGUAAUACGGAGGAGCCGAGCGUUAUCCGGAUUUAUUGGGUUUAAAGGGAGCGUAGAUGGGUUGUUAAGUCAGUUGUGAAAGUUUGCGGCUCAACCGUAAAAGUGCAAUUGAUACUGGCAGUCUUGAGUACAGUUGAGGGAGGUGGAAUUUGUGGUGUAGCGGUGAAAUGCUUAGAUAUCACGAAGAACUCCGAUUGCGAAGGCAGCUCACUGGACUGCAACUGACACUGAGGCUCGAAAGUGUGGGUAUCAAACAGGAUUAGAUACCCUUGUAGUC